CUGAACUCCAAAUACAGCAAUCAGAAUAACUCCCUGGAUCAAUGACCUCUCCAGAAAUCUAAUAACAAUAAUCUGUAAUAUUAUUACAUUCCAGAAAUACAUCCAGGUCCCUCUUGAACUAUUUUAGUGAGUUCACCGUCUCCACCU